rnacentral:tRNA from 1 species
AGCUCCUACGAGGGUUCGAACCUCGGUUUUUGGAUUCAAAGUCCAAUGUUAUCACCAAUUAAACUAUAGGAGC